UUAAAGGACAUUGUGAGGAACAGGAAAAUCAAUUCUGUAAAAGAAAUAUAAAUCAUUUUAAAGCUUUAAUAUUAGUUCAUUCCACCAAAUAUCUUCAUCUCUCAGCGUUAAAACAUUCAGAAUCAUUGUUCCAUCA